UCUCUUGUAGGUAACUUAUUGUUAAUGCAGGACGACUGUAAAAAGACAGGUGAGGUCUCUGUAGAUAUGGAAUUCCGCGCCAGUCAACAGCUGCAGCUCAGAGGUGCGCAGACACCAUGCAGAACAUAGAGAGCACCAUCGUAGAGCUGGGCUCUAUUCCAGCAGCUGGCCCACAUGGUGAAGGAGCAGGAAGAGACUGUGCAGAGGUGAGGGAGAAAUGGAAAGAUAGACAGAGAUUAUCAAGCUGCUGGUAGAGAUGCUUUGUCCCUGAUAUGACAUAGUUGUUCCAGUGUUUUGUUGAUUACAUAUCUUAACUGUGAUCAGACGGGGCGUGCAGUGGUAAGCAGGCUAGUGGAACCACUGACACUCAUUGUCCUCCCCUUUUCCCAUCCUCUUUCCUGCAGAAUUGAUGCCCACAUGAAGGUCAGCCAGCUCAACGUAGAUAUGGCCCAUUCAGAGAUCCUCGUGUACUUUCAGUCUGUCUCAUCCAACCGCUGGCUCAUGGUCAAAAUCUUCCUCAUCCUCAUAGUAUUCUUCAUCGUCUUUGUGGUCUUCUUUGCCUGAGGACCAGGAGGCACUUGGCGAAGAAUGAUAGGAAGGAGGAUGAGAAAGGGAGGAAUUGUGCUGGAGGAGAGUAGAGUGGGGAGGAAAUAGAGAGGAUGUGUGGGGAACAGAGGAGUAGCUGGAUGGGUGUUGUGUUCCCUCUUUGUUUCUCCUUUGUUUUUCAGACUUUCUCUUGUGAUUUAAAGAAAAGACCACUACUAACAAACAAUUCUAUAUGUGUCAGGAUGCAGUUGUGUUAAUAAUAGCUGUAUGGGAGGUAGAAAGGAGAUUAAAAAUAUUAUUAUCCUCCAUUGUAUGGAGUAAAUAGAUGAUGAUGGCAGGAUAGAAGAUUAUUGCAGUUGGAUUAAAACUUUCUUUUUGUUUUCAAAUCAAAAUAAACAUUUAAUUUUUAUUUCACCUUUAUUUAACCAGGUAGACCAGUUGAGAACACGUUCUCAUUUACAACUGCGACCUGGCCAAGAUAAAGCAAAGCAGUGCGACAAAAACAACAACACGGAGUUACACAUAAAGAAAUGUACAGUCAAUAACACAAUAGAUAAAUAUAUGUACAGUGUGUGCAAAUGUAGAAGAGUAGGGAGGUAAGGCCAUAGAGGCGAAAUAAUUACAAUUUAGCAUUAACUCUGAAGUGAUAGAUGUGCAGAUGAUGAUGUGCAAGUUGAGAUUCUGGGGUGCAAAAGAGGAAGAGGAUAAAUAACAAUAUGGGGAUGAGGUAGUUGGGUGUGCUAUUUACAGAUUGGCUGUGUACAGGUACAGUGAUCGGUAAGCUGCUCUGACAGCUGAUGCUUAAAGUUAGAGAGGGAGAUUCUUUAAAAAAACACACAAAAAAUGUUUUGUACGGUGACCUCGGUCAUUUGGCUGACCAAUAACGUCAUCCAAAAUUCCAUGACCGUUGCAGCUCUACCGGUUAUUUAAAGUAUGUUAAAUCAUGGUCUGCACAUAACACCUGAUGAGUGAUGUUUUACAGACCGUGUUCUCUCCCCCCCCCCCCCUCCCCCAGCACAUCUCUUAAAGAGAAAAAAAUACAUUAUUUAUAGAUAAUGUAAACAAACUAUCACAUGAACGUUUUUAAAUCUUGGUUGUAUCUGUGCUCCCGAGGUAUCUGUCAAAUUAAAUUAAUUGUUGAAAUUCUCAUUUGUUAUGUCUCCAGAGCAGAGGUUGCUGGUGCGAGGAGCUAUAGGAGGACGGGCUCAUUGUAAUGGAAUAGGAAAAAAUGGAACAGUAUCAAACAUAUGGAAACCAUAUUCCUUUCCAGACAUUACAAUGAGCCGUCCUCCUGUAGCCUCCCACCAGCCUGCACUGCUCUAGAGUCCUUUUUGUUCAAGGCAAUGACUCAGAAAGACACUGGGGAAAAAAUAUUCUAAUAUACAAACUCAUCUGCUUAGCUCAAAUUCUGGAGCCAAGAAAUAUUGUAAUGGAAAUUUUCUGGAUUUUUCCCACCCAAUGUAUUUAGCCUGCACUCAUUGUACCACUAUUCAGUUACUGAUUUACCCAUUUGCUCUGUCUUUGGACAUCUUGGAGGAAGUAUUGUAGAUCAUGGCAAAUGUUAUUGAUGCCCCUCAGUUCUGUAUUUUGUCUGAUGCCUUUGUUGCAAAUAAUAAGUAAUGUAAAAGUGAAAAUAAAAAGUAACUAUUUUAAA